GAAUAUUGGACAAUGGGGGGAACCCUGAUCCAGCCAUGCCGCGUGUGUGUAGAAGGCCUUUUGGUUGUACAGCACUUUAAGCGAGGAGGAGGCUACUUAGAUUAAUACUCUAGGACAGUGGACGUUACUUGCCGAAUAAGCACCGGCUAACGCUGUGCAAGCAGCCGCGGUAAUACAGAGGGUGCAAGCGUUAAUCGGAUUUACGGGGCGUAAAGGGCGCGUAGGUGGCCAAUUAAGUCAAAUGUGAAAUCCCCGAGCUUAACUUGGGAAUUGCAUUCGAUACUGGUUGGCUAGAGUAUGGGAGAGGAUGGUAGAAUUCCAGGUGUAGCGGUGAAAUGCGUAGAGAUCUGGAGGAAUACCGAUGGCGAAGGCAGCCAUCUGGCCUAAUACUGACACUGAGGUGCGAAAGCAUGGGGAGCAAACA
rnacentral:rRNA from 1 species